GCUUUGCUAAAGUUUUACCUUCUACCAUUUUGUAAUGUCCUUGGAUUUUCCAACUGCCACAAUUUACCAACACAUGCCUGGUGUAGAAGAGGCCCCAGGAAACACGUGCUGAAUGCAUGCAUGACCGGCGGUUGUUCUGGAUGUGCUGCUGGAGAAGUAUGUGUCUAUGGUGGCUUGCUGUGGCCUGAACUCUACCUGCACCCAGCUCAGGUUGUUGCCAACAUGAGCAAAGAAAAUCAGUGGCAUUUUUGACCUUCCUCGGAGACAUCAGCAAUGUGUUUGGAAAACUAGGAAGAGUUCAGCAUUGUUGGAACAAAGGCUGUGUGGAGCGGAGUGGAAGAGAGAGCCUGGGAAAUGGUAGGCGGUGGUAGGAGAUGUCGCCAUGUGGAGGCGAGCACCCUUGUGGAGGCGAGCACAGGAACGGCAGAGCUCCUUGCAGCCCUACUUUGCACCCGGCUGAGCUCAGGGAUACGGGCUGUCAGUGCCAGAGCUUCUUGGACAAGGGUGAAACCACUUGGAGGCUAGGAAGUCUGUACAACUUCUAGUCUCAGCCAGCCCGGAUCAUGAGCA